rnacentral:rRNA from 1 species
GAUGAACGCUGCGGCGCGCCUACACAUGCAAGUCGAAACGAUUAAAAGCACCUUUACGGGUGUGUAUAAAAGUGGCGAAACGGCUGAGUAACACGUGGGCAACCCUGCCCUUUGCACUGGGAUAGCCUCGGGAAACCGAGGUUAAUACCGGAUUACUCCAUAUAUAUCGCAUGAUGUAUAUGGGAAAAGCUCCGACGGGCAAAGGGAUGGGCCCGCGGCCUGUUAGCUAGUUGGUGGGGUAACGGCCUACCCAAGGCCAAUGAUGGGUAGCCGGGUUGAGAGACCGACCGGCCAGAUUGGGACUGAGACACGGCCCAGACUCCUACGGGAGGCAGCAGUGGGGAAUCUUGCACAAUGGGCGAAAGCCUGAUGCAGCGACGCCGCGUGCGGGAUGAAGGCCUUCGGGUCGUAAACCGCUUUCAGCAGGGACGAGGCCGCAAGGUGACGGUACCUGCAGAAGAAGCCCCGGCUAACUACGUGCCAGCAGCCGUGGUAAU